rnacentral:rRNA from 1 species
UUGACCUCAAAUCAGGUAGGACUACCCGCUGAACUUAAGCAUAUCAAUAAGCGGAGGAAAAGAAACUAACAAGGAUUCCCCUAGUAACUGCGAGUGAAGAGGGAAAAGCUCAAAUUUAAAAUCUGGCRGCUUCGCUGUCCGAGUUGUAAUUUAA